UGGGGAAUUUUGGACAAUGGGCGAAAGCCUGAUCCAGCAAUGCCGCGUGUGUGAAGAAGGCCUUCGGGUUGUAAAGCACUUUUGUCCGGAAAGAAAACGCCGUGGUUAAUACCCGUGGCGGAUGACGGUACCGGAAGAAUAAGCACCGGCUAACUACGUGCCAGCAGCCGCGGUAAUACGUAGGGUGCAAGCGUUAAUCGGAAUUACUGGGCGUAAAGCGUGCGCAGGCGGUCCGCUAAGACAGAUGUGAAAUCCCCGGGCUUAACCUGGGAACUGCAUUUGUGAGUGGCGGGCUAGAGUAUGGCAGAGGGGGGUAGAAUGCCACGUGUAGCAGUGAAAUGCGUAGAGAUGUGGAGGAAAACCGAUGGCGAAGGCAGCCCGCUGGGCAAAUACUGACGCUCAUGCACGAAAGCGUGGGGAGCAAACAGG
rnacentral:rRNA from 1 species